rnacentral:rRNA from 1 species
UACGUAGGGGGCAAGCGUUGUCCGGAAUCAUUGGGCGUAAAGCGCUGUGUGAGCGGUUCGGUAAGUCUGCUGUGAAAGUCCAGGGCUCAACCCUGGGAUGCCGGUGGAUACUGUCGGACUAGAGUACGGAAGAGGCGAGUGGAAUUCCCGGUGUAGCGGUGAAAUGGCGCAGAUAUCGGGAAGGAACACCAAUUGCGAAGGCAGCUCGCUGGGACGUCACUGACGCUGAGACGCGAAAGCGUG